rnacentral:lncRNA from 1 species
AAACAAAAAUAUAACCUAAAAGACCCAAACUAGGAAGUGCGUCUCCUAGGGGCGAAACUUCAAUAACUCAAACUAGGAAGUGCGUCUCCGAGGGAUGAAUUUAAAUGACCAAAGCUAGGAAGUGCGUCUCCUAACAAGUAUAAUCUGAAAGACCCCUACUAGGAAGUGCGUCUCCUAAUGGGUAAAACUUCAAUGACUCCAACUAGGACGUGUGUCUCCUAGGGAUGAAUUUAAAUGACCCGCAUUAGGAAGUGUGUCUCCUAAAAUAAAAAUAUAACUUGAAAUACCCAGACUAGGAAGUGCAUCUCCUAAGGGUAAAAUCUCAAUUUAGGAAGUGCGUCUCCUAAAACAAAACAUAACUUG